UUAGGAAUCUUCCCCAAUUGGCGCAAGCCUGAGGGAGCGACGCCGCUUGAAGGAUGAAGGUNUUCGGAUUGUAAACUUUUGAAACAAGGUCGAAAUCCCUGCAAAGGGUCUGACGGUACAUGUGUAAUAGCACCGGCUAACUCCGUGCCAGCAGCCGCGGUAAUACGGAGGGUGCAAGCGUUACCCGGAAUCACUGGGAGUAAAGGGCGGGUAGGCGGCUUGNUAAGUCUGGANUUAAAGACCGAAGCUCAACUUCGGGAAUGGUNUGGAUACUGCCAUACUAGACGACUGGAGGGGAGAGUGGAAUUCUGCGGUGUAGCGGUGGAAUGCGUAGAUAGCCGAGA
rnacentral:rRNA from 1 species